CGCUGCUAGUGUUGCAGAUUAAGAGCUGGGGAAUAAGGCGGCUCGGUGUGGGCAUUAAGGUUUGCUGCCCCAGUGGGCCCUUCUGGGGCAAAGGGCCAUAUCCCACCUGCUUCGUGUCCCCCCCGAUGCCUAGUGUGGUGCAGGGGCCUCUGUGAGGGAUGAAAGCCCGCGUGGGUGCCCGGCUUUGAAGAUGCCAAAGGGACAUGAUUGGGAGCACGUUGAAGCAGGCCUGUGCGACUCGCCUCAUCUCUAUUAGCUCCUACCCGACAAUUAGCCUGACCUUUCCCUCAAAAAUUAUACCAACUGCAACCUCCGCUGCUGCUUUGCCUAAUUUGCUUCACUGCUGGGGGGAAAACAAGUCCUGAAGAGGAAUAAAAGCAGCUGGUUUCUUUCGAGCAUCAAAGGCAGAACUGGAUGCUGCGUGGUGAUUUCCAAGGCGAUUCAAAAUUAACUUCAAAUUACCAAGAGCUGAUUCCCUCCCGCCUCUCUCUCAUGCUCGCUCGCCCUCUCUCUGCCUUUAGCCUGACUUUGUUCCCCAAGCAGAACGGUUCCCAGCGUCCCUGUGCUCUGCUUUGAAGCCAGCCCAUGUUUUUCGGCCUCACCCUUCAUCCCUCUGGGCAGCUGUCCCCACCGCUUGGGGAUCAACGAGGAGCCUCAAACACCAAGCAUUUGCGUUGUCCAAGCAGAGGUUCCCAGGUGCCAGCGGACCGCAUCUGGCAUGUGCUUGCUGGAGAUUGCGACCCAUGGGCCAGCUCUCCGCGGGAGCCACCCCUGCAGGAGGUCCUCUCUCACCGCCUCUGCCCCCCUGGAGCUCGCCUGCAACCCUGUCUGCACGUCCACACUCGCAGCCUGCCCAGCCCGUCGACUCCAGGCGCCCCCGGCCUGCUGUCUGUUUGGCUGGGGCUCUGGGGGGGCACGAGAACCCCACGCGCAGCCAGACAGCACGCCGUCUCCAUGAGGCUUGUCCCGUGCCCCUCUUCCUCUCCUAAAAGUAAGCUCCGUGACAAAAGGGACCGUGCAGCCCUCGGGGGGCCCCAGUGCCUCGCCCAAGUCCUCCACGUCUUAGUCACAGAACCAAAAAACUGCUUGUAA
rnacentral:lncRNA from 1 species